UACGUAGGGUGCAAGCGUUAAUCGGAAUUACUGGGCGUAAAGUGUGCGCAGGCGGUUUGUAAGUUUGUCGUGAAAGCCCCGGGCUCAACCUGGGAAUUGCGAUGAAGACUGCAAGGCUUGAAUCUGGCAGAGGGGGGUAGAAUUCCACGUGUAGCAGUGAAAUGCGUAGAGAUGUGGAGGAACACCGAUGGCGAAGGCAGCCCCCUGGGUCAAGAUUGACGCUCAUGCACGAAAGCGUGGGGAGCAAACAGG
rnacentral:rRNA from 1 species